UACGUAGGGUGCAAGCGUUAAUCGGAAUUACUGGGCGUAAAGCGUGCGCAGGCGGUUAUGUAAGACAGGGGUGAAAUCCCAGGGCUUAACCUUGGAACUGCAUUUGUGACUGCAUAGCUAGAGUACGGUAGAGGGGGAUGGAAUUCCGCGUGUAGCGGUGAAAUGCGUAGAUAUCUGGAGGAACACCGGUGGCGAAGGCGACAUCCUGGACCGGUAUUGACGCUGAGGCGCGAAAGCCAGGGGAGCAAACGGG
rnacentral:rRNA from 1 species